ACGGAAGGCAGCAGUGGGGAAUAUUGGGCAAUGGGCGAAAGCCUGACCCAGCGACGCCGCGUGAGGGAAGAAGAUCUUCGGAUUGUAAACCUUAGUCAACAGGGAAGAAGCAAGUGACGGUACCUGUGGAGGAAGCCACGGCUAACUACGUGCCAGCAGCCGCGGUAAUACGUAGGUGGCGAGCGUUAUCCGGAUUUACUGGGUGUAAAGGGCGCGUAGGCGGGGAUGCAAGUCAGAUGUGAAAUCUAUGGGCUUAACCCAUAAACUGCAUUUGAAACUGUAUUUCUUGAGUGCUGGAGAGGUAGAUGGAAUUCCUUGUGUAGCGGUGAAAUGCGUAGAUAUAAGGAAGAACACCAGUGGCGAAGGCGAUCUACUGGACAGUAACUGACGCUGAGGCGCGAAAGCGUGGGGAGCAAACAGGAUUAGAUACCCUGGUA
rnacentral:rRNA from 1 species